CCACCAAAAUUAACCAAACAAUAUAAAUAAAAUAAAAUGGACAAAACACCAAAAACUAAACCAUUCUUUUACCUGAGUAUGGGAGACAGAAAAGGUUCAACCAAAGCAAUAGAAACAGUACCGCAAGGGAAAGCUGAAAGAGAAAUGAAACAACCCAUAUAAGCACAAAAAAGCAAAGAUUAAACCUUGUACCUUUUGCAUCAUGAUUUAGCCAGUAAACCCAAGCAAAGAGACCUUUAGUUUGAAACCCCGAAACCAGGUGAGCUACCCCGAGACAGCCUAUUAAGGGCCAACCCGUCUCUGUGGCAAAAGAGUGGGAAGAGCUCCGGGUAGAAGUGACAGACCUACCGAACCUGGUGAUAGCUGGUUGCCUAAGAAACGAAUAGAAGUUCAGCCUCGUACGCCUCAAAUCAAAAACACAUAAACAAGACACCAAGAGAAACACACGAGAGUUAGUUAAAGGGGGUACAGCCCCUUUAACAAAGGAUACAACCUUAUCAGGAGGAUAAAGAUCAUAAUAUAUAAAACAUACUGUUCUAGUGGGCCUAAAAGCAGCCAUCUAAACAGAAAGCGUUAAAGCUCAGACAGAAAAAAGUUUAUUAUUCUGAUAAACAAUCUUACUCCCCUAAAUUCUAUUAGGCUAAUCCAUGCCCCCAUGGAAGAAAUUAUGCUAAAAUGAGUAACAAGAAGGCCCGCCCUUCUCCCCAGCACAAGUGUAAGCCAAACCGGACAAACCAUUGGCAAUUAACGAACUCAACCCAAGAGAGCAAUGUGAAUCAUAAAAAAACCAAGAAAACCACACAACCAACUAAUCGUUACCCCCACACUGGAGUGCUACUUUAAAGGAAAGACUAAAAGAAAAGGAAGGAACUCGGCAAACACAAGCCUCGCCUGUUUACCAAAAACAUCGCCUCCUGCAACACAACUAUGUAUAGGAGGUCCAGCCUGCCCAGUGACUACAAGUUCAACGGCCGCGGUAUUUUGACCGUGCAAAGGUAGCGCAAUCACUUGUCUUUUAAAUAGAGACCUGUAUGAAUGGCUAAACGAGGGCUUAACUGUCUCCCCUUUCCAGUCAGUGAAAUUGAUCUGCCCGUGCAGAAGCG
rnacentral:rRNA from 1 species